rnacentral:rRNA from 1 species
UACGUGGGGGGCCAGCGUUGCUCGGAAUUACUGGGCGUAAAGGGUCCGUAGGCGGUGCGGCAAGUCGAUAGUGAAAUCUCUGGGCUCAACCCAGAGGCUGCUUCCAAAACUGCCAUGCUUGAGUGUGGUAGAGGCGCGUGGAAUUGCAGGUGUAGCGGUGAAAUGCGUAGAUAUCUGCAGGAACACCCGUGGCGAAGGCGGCUCUCUGGCCGGAUUCUGACACUGAGGCGCGAAAGCGUGGGGAGCAAACAGG